GACGAACGCUGGCGGCGUGCUUAACACAUGCAAGUCGAACGGAAAGGCCCUGCUUUUGUGGGGUGCUCGAGUGGCGAACGGGUGAGUAACACGUGAGUAACCUGCCCUUGACUUUGGGAUAACUUCAGGAAACUGGGGCUAAUACCGGAUAGGAGCUCCUGCUGCAUGGUGGGGGUUGGAAAGUUUCGGCGGUUGGGGAUGGACUCGCGGCUUAUCAGCUUGUUGGUGGGGUAGUGGCUUACCAAGGCUUUGACGGGUAGCCGGCCUGAGAGGGUGACCGGCCACAUUGGGACUGAGAUACGGCGCAGACUCGUACGGGAGGCAGCAGUGGGGAAUAUUGCACAAUGGGCGGAAGCCUGAUGCGGCAACGCCGCGUGCGGGAUGACGGCCUUCGGGUUGUAAACCGCUUUCGCCUGUGACGAAGCGUGAGUGACGGUAAUGGGUAAAGAAGCACCGGCUAACUACGUG
rnacentral:rRNA from 1 species